GACGAACGCUGGCGGCGUGCUUAACACAUGCAAGUCGAACGGAAAGGCCCUGCUUUUGUGGGGUGCUCGAGUGGCGAACGGGUGAGUAACACGUGAGUAACCUGCCCUUGACUUUGGGAUAACUUCAGGAAACUGGGGCUAAUACCGGAUAGGAGCUCCUGCUGCAUGGUGGGGGUUGGAAAGUUUCGGCGGUUGGGGAUGGACUCGCGGCUUAUCAGCUUGUUGGUGGGGUAGUGGCUUACCAAGGCUUUGACGGGUAGCCGGCCUGAGAGGGUGACCGGCCAAAUUGGGACGGGGAUACGGCCCAGGCCCCGCCGGGGGGCAGCAGUGGGGAAUAUUGCACAAGGGGGGGAAGCCUGAUGCAGCAACGCCGCGUGCGGGAGGACGGCCUUCGGGGUGUAAACCGCUUUCGCCUGUGACGAAGCGUGAGGGACGGGAAUGGGUAAAGAAGCACCGGCUAACUACGU
rnacentral:rRNA from 1 species